AUUGAACGCUGGCGGCAUGCCUUACACAUGCAAGUCGAACGGCAGCACGGGGGCAACCCUGGUGGCGAGUGGCGAACGGGUGAGUAACGCAUCGGAAUGUACCCAGUAGUGGGGGGAUAACUAGUCGAAAGAUUAGCUAAUACCGCAUACGCACUGAGGUGGAAAGCGGGGGAUCGCAAGACCUCGCGCUAUUGGAGCAGCCGAUGUCCGAUUAGGUAGUUGGUGGGGUAAAGGCCUACCAAGCCUGCGAUCGGUAACUGGUCUGAGAGGACGACCAGUCACACUGGGACUGAGACACGGCCCAGACUCCUACGGGAGGCAGCAGUGGGGAAUUUUUGGGACAAUGGGCGCAAGCCUGAUCCAGCAAUGCCGCGUGUGUGAAGAAGGCC
rnacentral:rRNA from 1 species